GCCCUGUGGUUACUGGACACUGGUUUGUGCAUCCAGUGCUUCAGUUGGUUGGAAUGGGCCAAAAGUGAUACUGUGAUUUACGCAUGGAGCUGUGACGUGUGAGCAGCUUCCACAGCCCGGUCACAGUUACAGAA
rnacentral:snoRNA from 1 species